rnacentral:rRNA from 1 species
AGAGAGUGCAAGCGUUAAUCGGAAUUACUGGGCGUAAAGCGCACGUAGGUGGAUAUUUAAGUCGGAUGUGAAAGCCCUGGGCUUAACCUAGGAAUUGCACCCGAUACUGGAUAUCUAGAGUAUGGUAGAGGGUAGUGGAAUUUCCGGUGUAGCGGUGAAAUGCGUAGAUAUCGGAAGGAACACCAGUGGCGAAGGCGGCUACCUGGAUCAAUACUGACACUGAGGUGCGAAAGCGUGGGGGAGCAAACAGGAUUAGAGACCCUGGUAGUCCACGCCGUCAACGAUGAGAACUAGCUGUUGGGAGGGACUUCCUCUUAGUAGCGAAGCUAACGCGUUAAGUUCUCCGCCUGGGAGUACGGCCGCAAGGUUA